rnacentral:rRNA from 1 species
GAUGAACGCUGGCAGAAUGCUUAACACAUGCAAGUCAACUUGAACUUCGGUUUGGGUGGCGUCCGUGUGAGUAACGCGAAAAGAACUUGCCUCACAGAUAGGGACCACAUUUGGAAACGCAUGCUAAUACCUGAUAUUAUGAUUUUAGGGCAUCCUAGGAUUAUGAAAGCUAUAUGCGCUGUGAGAGAGCUUUGCGUCCCAUUAGCUAGUUGGCGAGGUAACGGCUCACAAGGGCGAGGAUGGGUCGCCGGCCUGGGAGGGUGAUCGGCAAAAAGGGGACUGGGACACGGCCCUUAUCCUAAGGGGAGGCAGCAGUGGGGAAUAUUGGACAAGGGACGAAGAGUGUGAUCCAGAAAUUCUGUGUGCAAGAUGAAGUUUUUCGUAAUGAAAAGCGUUUUCAGUGGGGAAGAAAAAAAUGACGGUACCAACAGAAGAAGCGACGGCUAAAUACGUG